ACACCCAUCAAAUACAGUCAAAGUAUUGGUACUUUAAAAAAAGCGUUCCAACGACUUUUAAAAAUAUAAUAGCAAAAAGCGAUGAGUAGUCUACAAGAAUGGAGACAGCCAAUGUUGCUCAUGGAAAGUUUUUGGUGAAAUAACAGUUGCCUGAUAAUUUUGAGUUGAAACGCAACACAGCUGGCUGCCAUUUUCAAGUAAGCCCCAAAGGCCUUGAUUAGCGGGUUCAGGUGUGCUUGUUCAGAGAUGGACCUGCACUCCACAGGCAGGGGGACUGCGUACCCCUGUAUGAAGGAGGCCUUUACGGCGGAGAAUUGCAAGGCAUUGGCUUGUGCCGUAGCGCGACAGGAAUAAAAAGUGGACACAGCUGGCUGCCAUUUUCAAGUAAGCCCCAAAGGCCUUGAUUAGCGGGUUCAGGUGUGCUUGAUCAGAGAUGGACCUGCACUCCACAGGCAGGCGGACUGCGUACCCCUGUAUGAAAGAGGCCUUUGGAGAAGUGACGCUGCGUGCUCAUCCAAACUCAGCCGUUUUCGCUUUCUUUGCUUUUUAGCAAAGUCAGUACUGGAAGCCUGUCCCAGCCUCUGCUCCACCCUAACAGAGGCGCCCUGUUGACGCCGGGACACCCAUCAAAUACAGUCAAAGUAUUGGUACUUUAAAAAAAGCGUUCCAACGACUUUUAAAAAUAUAAUAGCAAAAAGCGAUGAGUAGUCUACAAGAAUGGAGACAGCCAAUGUUGCUCAUGGAAAGUUUUUGGUGAAAUAACAGUUGCCUGAUAAUUUUGAGUUGAAACGCAACACAGCUGGCUGCCAUUUUCAAGUAAGCCCCAAAGGCCUUGAUUAGCGGGUUCAGGUGUGCUUGUUCAGAGAUGGACCUGCACUCCACAGGCAGGGGGACUGCGUACCCCUGUAUGAAGGAGGCCUUUACGGCGGAGAAUUGCAAGGCAUUGGCUUGUGCCGUAGCGCGACAGGAAUAAAAAGUGGACACAGCUGGCUGCCAUUUUCAAGUAAGCCCCAAAGGCCUUGAUUAGCGGGUUCAGGUGUGCUUGAUCAGAGAU